AGAGUUUGAUCCUGGCUCAGAACGAACGCUGGCGGUAUGCUCAACACAUGCAAGUCGAACGCGAAAGUCCUUUCGGGGGCGAGUAGAGUGGCGCACGGGUGAGUAACGCGUAGAUAAUCUACCUUUUAGUUUAGGAUAACCUUGCGAAAGUGGGGCUAAUACUGGUUAAAACUUAUUUGCAAAAGUGAAUGAGUUGAAAGGAGCAAUCUGCUAAGAGAUGAGUCUGCGUAUCAUUAGCUAGUUGGUGGGGUAAAAGCCUACCAAGGCUACGAUGAUUAGCGGGUCUGAGAGGAUGAUCCGCCACACUGGAACUGAGACACGGUCCAGACUCCUACGGGAGGCAGCAGUGGGGAAUUUUGCGCAAUGGGGGAAACCCUGACGCAGCAAUACCGCGUGAGUGAAGAAGGCCUUUGGGUUGUAAAGCUCUUUGUCUUGGGGAUGAUAAUGACAGUACCCAAGGAAUAAGCACCGGCUAACUCCGUGCCAGCAGCCGCGGUAAUACGGAGGGUGCAAGCGUUGUUCGGAAUCACUGGGCGUAAAGAGCACGUAGGCGGUUAUACAAGCUAAGGGUGAAAUUCCAGGGCUCAACUUUGGGACUGCUUUUAGAACUGUAUAACUAGAGAAAGUUAGAGGCAGAUGGAAUUCCUGGUGUAGAGUGAAAUUCUUAGAUAUCAGGAGGAACACCGGUGGCGAAAGCGGUCUGCUGGAGCUUUUCUGACGCUGAGGUGCGAAAGCAUGGGUAGCAAACAGGAUUAGAUACCCUGGUAGUCCAUGCUGUAAACGAUGGAUACCAGCUGUUUGGACUUAGACCGUCCAAGUGGCGCAGCUAACGCGAUGAGUAUCCCGCCUGGGGAGUACGGUCGCAAGACUAAAACUCAAAGGAAUUGACGGGGGCCCGCACAAGCGGUGGAGCAUGUGGUUUAAUUCGACGCAACGCGAAGAACCUUACCUGGAUUUGACAUCUCCUGCUCGCAUUAGAAAUAAUGUUUUCUCUUCGGAGACAGGAUGACAGGUGCUGCAUGGCUGUCGUCAGCUCGUGUCGUGAGAUGUUGGGUUAAGUCCCGCAACGAGCGCAACCCUUGUCCUUAGUUGCCAGCAUUAAGUUGGGAACUCUAGGGAGACUGCCGGUGUUAAGCCGGAGGAAGGUGGGGAUGACGUCAAGUCCUCAUGGCCCUUAUAUCCAGGGCUACACACGUGCUACAAUGGCGACUACAAAGAGCAGCUAAACCGUGAGGUCAAGCGAAUCUCAAAAAGGUCGUCCCAGUUCGGAUUGCAGUCUGCAACUCGACUGCAUGAAGUUGGAAUCGCUAGUAAUCGUAGAUCAGCAUGCUACGGUGAAUACGUUCCCGGGCCUUGUACUCACCGCCCGUCACACCAUGGGAGUUGAUAUUAGCAGAAAAUGCUGGGCUAACCUUCACAGGAAGUAGGUGUUCAAGUUAAUAUUGAUGACUGGGGUGAAGUCGUAACAAGGUA
rnacentral:rRNA from 1 species